ACCUAUCAAAUUACAUUUGCUAUUUCAGAAUACAGUGAAAUGGUAGCACAAUGAUCAGCUACUCCAGCAAUACCUAUAUGAGUAUUAUGUACAGAAAAAAGAGACUGAGUAACCUAUCUACAGACGGAGAAAGAUUCCUGACAUUACUCGAAGAUAUAACAUGCAUGUAUCCAGGACAAGAUAAAAAUGGCUUGCGGUUGAAGUUGAUCAGUGUAGGGUCGGAGAAUACCAGAGUGGCACCAUUCCUGCAAUUAGUGGCACCCUCAGCAGACCACGUCGUCAACCAUCUGGAGAUAGACGAGACAGAGGUAGCUUCAUCCGGGCAAUAGCAAUUGCUAAUGUUCAUCUAUCAACUCAACACAUCACGACUGAAAAGUACCACGAGGUUC
rnacentral:lncRNA from 1 species